rnacentral:rRNA from 1 species
GAUGAACGCUGGCGGCGUGCCUAAUACAUGCAAGUCGAGCGAACAGACGAGGAGCUUGCUCCUCUGACGUUAGCGGCGGACGGGUGAGUAACACGGGGAUAACCUACCUAUAAGACUGGGAUACUUUCGGGAAACCGGAGCUACUACCGGAUAAUAUAUUGAACCGCAUUGUUCAAUAGUUAAAGACGGUUUUGCGGUCACUAAUAGAUGAAUCCGCGCCUCAUUAGCUAGUUGGUAAGGUAACGGCUUACCAAGGCAACGAUGGGUAGCCGACCUGAGCGGGUGAACGGCCACACUGGAAGUGAGACACGGCCCAGACUCCUAGGGGAGGCCGCGGUAGGGAAUCUUCCGCAAGGGGGGAAAGCCUGACGGAGCAACGCCGCGUGAAUGAUGAAGGUCUUCGGAUCGGAAAACGCUGUUAUUAGGGAAGAACAAAUGUGUAAGUAACUAUGCACGUCUUGACGGUACCUAAACAGAAAGCCACGGCUAACUACGUG